rnacentral:lncRNA from 1 species
UUAUGAAGAAAGAUAUGCACGUGCUAGUUCCCUAUAUAUAUAUAACGGGCAAGAUGGAGUUAUCGAUCCCGGAGGCAUAUUCCCGAAAUAAUGACAUGUAGUCCCAAAACACAAACACACACAAUAAAGCCCCGUUAUAUCUGGUGGAGGUACCCGAGUUCACAAUGUUUACUGGAUUUAUGAUGUACGCGAAAUUGGGACGAAUGUGCAAAGUCAUGGCGUGUGCAGAAAGAAGAAACAC